rnacentral:rRNA from 1 species
UACGAGGGGGGCAAGCGUUGUUCGGAAUCAUUGGGCGUAAAGGGUAUGUAGGCGGUGCGGUAAGUCUGGUGUGAAAUCCCCGAGCUUAACUCGGGUCCCGCGCCAGAGACUGCCGUGCUCGAGUGUGGGAGAGGAAAGUGGAAUUCCCGGUGUAGCGGUGAAAUGCGUAGAUAUCAGGAGGAACACCAAUGGCGAAGGCAGCUCGCUGGGACGGUACUGGCGCUGAGGUGCGAAAGCGUGGGGAGCAAACAGG